GUGGGGAAUUUUGGACAAUGGGCGCAAGCCUGAUCCAGCAAUGCCGCGUGCAGGAAGAAGGCCUUCGGGUUGUAAACUGCUUUUGUACGGAACGAAACGGUCCUGGUUAAUACCUGGGGCUAAUGACGGUACCGUAAGAAUAAGCACCGGCUAACUACGUGCCAGCAGCCGCGGUAAUACGUAGGGUGCGAGCGUUAAUCGGAAUUACUGGGCGUAAAGCGUGCGAAGGCGGUGCUGUAAGACAGGCGUGAAAUCCCCGGGCUCAACCUGGGAAUUGCGCUUGUGACUGCAGUGCUGGAGUACGGCAGAGGGGGAUGGAAUUCCGCGUGUAGCAGUGAAAUGCGUAGAUAUGCGGAGGAACACCGAUGGCGAAGGCAGUCCCCUGGGCCUGUACUGACGCUCAUGCACGAAAGCGUGGGGAGCAAACAGGAUUAGAAACCCGUGUAGUCC
rnacentral:rRNA from 1 species